rnacentral:rRNA from 1 species
UACGUAGGGUGCAAGCGUUGUCCGGAAUUAUUGGGCGUAAAGAGCUCGUAGGCGGCUUGUCGCGUCGACUGUGAAAUCCCGCCGGCUCAACCGCGGGUCUGCAGUCGAUACGGGCAGGCUAGAGUUCGGUAGGGGGAGACUGGAAUUCCUGGUGUAGCGGUGAAAUGCGCAGAUAUCAGGAGGAACACCGAUGGCGAAGGCAGGUCUCUGGGCCGAUACUGACGCUGAGGAGCGAAAGCGUGGGGAGCGAACAGG